UUUCUUCUGUUUAUUAUUAUUAUUAUUAUUAGGUCUUUCCACUUUUCCGUGGAAAGACCUAUUGGAUUUCUUCUGAUUAUUAUUAUUAUUAGGUCUUUCCACCUUUCGUGUGGAAAGACCUAUUGAUUUUGUUCUGAUUGUUUUUUUUUUUCUUCCGCCUAAUUUUUUUCUUGCGGUGUAAAAAUGUUUCAAAAGAUGUCGCUUAGUUUUUUUGUAUAUGAGAUCAUACAGUGUAUACGCUUUUGAAACUCACCCUGUUUAACCGAACACUUUUCUUUGUAAGAGUUAUCUCCCCAAACACUGUUUUUCUUGUUAUCAGAUCUCCUCCGCAACCGUAAAAGAAAGCGACAAAUUUAUUUUUCCAAAUUGCUCGUUAUAUCCUCAGGAUGUUACGUUUUAUUUUGACCGAAGCUUUACGAAGAUCCCAUAUGAGAGUAAUUUCCCCUUUUUUAUUGAAAUAAGUGAAAUAAAUUUGUAACUGGAAAACCAUAAGUGAUAGAGGCCUAGGGUCUUUUGAUUUGAGGCCCUUGCUCAAAAAGUAUGAAAAUGAGGUCAAGGUCAAAGGUCAAGGUCAUGUUCAAAUUUUUGAUUUUGGCUUGUUAUCUCUUAUUUUCAGAAAUCAUACAAGAUAUCGACAAAAUAUUUUCACACAAUUGUUAGUUGCGACAUGUCGUAACAUGUAAAUUUUACUUAAAAGGGUACGUAACAUUUAAUGCGAGUUUUGCCACCUUUUAUAUCUAAUAUAAGUUGUAUGGUAAUAUAACUCAUUAACAAUAUAAAGUAGAGGCCUAGAGUCUUUUGAUUUGAGGUCCUUGGUUGAUGACCUUGAAAUUGAGCUCAAGGUCAUAGGUAAAUUUAACGUUCUAGAUUUUGACCUUUGCUUUUUCCUCUUAUAUAUACAUGAUAAAGCCAUGGGACUUUUGGCAAAAGGUUGCAAGCAAUGUGACCUUGAAAAAGCCAACCGGAAGUGACCUUUUGUAAACCAGAAGUAGCCAUUUUUUGAACUAAUUUAAUGUAAAAGUAUAUAGAACCAUCUAUUUUUGGAAUCAGUGUCAAGUAAACUAUCAAAACAUACCGGAAAUAACAUCUUUUAAACCGGAAGUAAAAAAUGAUCUCCCUU
rnacentral:lncRNA from 1 species